UGGGGAAUUUUGGACAAUGGGCGAAAGCCUGAUCCAGCAAUGCCGCGUGUGUGAAGAAGGCCUUCGGGUUGUAAAGCACUUUUGUCCGGAAAGAAAUCCUUGGCUCUAAUACAGUCGGGGGAUGACGGUACCGGAAGAAUAAGCACCGGCUAACUACGUGCCAGCAGCCGCGGUAAUACGUAGGGUGCAAGCGUUAAUCGGAAUUACUGGGCGUAAAGCGUGCGCAGGCGGUUUGCUAAGACCGAUGUGAAAUCCCCGGGCUCAACCUGGGAACUGAUUGGUGACUGGCAGGCUAGAGUAUGGCAGAGGGGGGUAGAAUUCCACGUGUAGCAGUGAAAUGCGUAGAGAUGUGGAGGAAUACCGAUGGCGAAGGCAGCCCCCUGGGCCAAUACUGACGCUCAUGCACGAAAGCGUGGGGGAGCAAACAGGAUUAGAUACCCUGGUAGUCCACGCCCUAAA
rnacentral:rRNA from 1 species